UACGAAGGGGGCUAGCGUUGUUCGGAUUUACUGGGCGUAAAGCGCACGUAGGCGGAUCGUUAAGUCGGGGGUGAAAUCCUGGAGCUCAACUCCAGAACUGCCUUCGAUACUGGCGAUCUUGAGUCCGGAAGAGGUGAGUGGAACUCCUAGUGUAGAGGUGGAAUUCGUAGAUAUUAGGAAGAACACCAGUGGCGAAGGCGGCUCACUGGCUCGGUACUGACGCUGAGGUGCGAAAGCGUGGGGAGCAAACAGG
rnacentral:rRNA from 1 species